rnacentral:rRNA from 1 species
CCUACGGGCGGCAGCAGUGGGGAAUAUUGCACAAUGGGCGAAAGCCUGAUGCAGCAACGCCGCGUGAGCGAUGAAGGUCUUCGGGUCGUAAAGCUCUGUCCUAAGGGAAGAAUACUGACGGUACCUUAGGAGGAAGCCCCGGCUAACUACGUGCCAGCAGCCGCGGUCAUACGUAGGGGGCUAGCGUUAUCCGGAAUUACUGGGCGUAAAGGGUGCGUAGGCGGCCCUUCAAGGCAGAGGUGAAAGGCUACGGCUCAACCGUAGUAAGCCUUUGAAACUGUAGGGCUUGAGUGCAGGAGAGGACAGUAGAAUUCCCAGUGUCGCGGUGAAAUGCGUAGAUAUUGGGAGGAACACCAGUUGCGAAGGCGGCUCUCUGGACUGUAACUGACGCUGAGGCACGAAAGUGUGGGGCGCAAACAGGCUUAGUGACCCGAGUAGCC